rnacentral:rRNA from 1 species
GACGAACGCUGGCGGCGUGCUUAACACAUGCAAGUCGAACGAUGAAGCCCAGCUGGCUGGGUGGAUUAGUGGCGAACGGGUGAGUAACACGUGAGGAACCUGCCCCUGACUCGGGGAUAAGCGUUGGAAACUACGUCUAAUACUGGAAAUGGCUACUGGACGCAGGGCCUGGUGGUGGAAAGAUUUUUUGGUUGGGGUGGGACUUGCGGCCUAGGAGGUUGUUGGUGAGGUAAUGGCUCACCAAGGCGACGACGGGUAGCCGGCCUGAGAGGGUGACCGGCCACACUGGGACUGAGACACGGCCCAGACUCAUACGGGAGGCAGCAGUGGGGAAUAUUGCACAAUGGCCGAAAGCCUCAUGCAGCAACGACGCGUGAGGGAUGACGGCCUUCGGGUUGUAAACCUCUUUUAGUAGGGAAGAAGCGAAAGUGACGGUACCUGCAGAAAAAGCACCGGCUAACUACGUGCCAGCCGCCGCUGUAA